AUUGAACGCUGGCGGCAGGCUUAACACAUGCAAGUCGAACGAGUGGCGGACGGGUGAGUAAUGCUUGGGAAUCUAGCUUAUGGAGGGGGAUAACUACGGGAAACUGUAGCUAAUACCGCGUACCAUAGGAUGAGCCCAAGUGGGAUUAGGUAGUUGGUGAGGUAAAGGCUCACCAAGCCGACGAUCCCUAGCUGGUCUGAGAGGAUGACCAGCCAAACUGGGAAUGAGAGACGGCCCAGACUCCUACGGGAGGCAGCAGUGGGGAAGAUUGGGCAAUGGGCGCAAGCCUGAUGAAGCCAUGCCGCGUGUAUGAAGAAGGCCUUCGGGUUGUAAAGUACUUUCAGCGAGGAGGCGUUACUCGCAGAAGAAGCACCGGCUAACUCCGUGCCAGCAGCCGCGGUAAUAC
rnacentral:rRNA from 1 species